rnacentral:rRNA from 1 species
GCGAGUGAAGCGGCAAAAGCUCAAAUUUGAAAUCUGGUACCUUUGGUGCCCGAGUUGUAAUUUGAAGAUAGUUUUCUGGUGCUGGCCCUUGUCUAUGUUCCUUGGAACAGGACGUCACAGAGGGUGAGAAUCCCGUCUGGCGGGGUGUCCAGUGCUUUGUAGAUUUCUAUCGACGAGUCGAGUUGUUUGGGAAUGCAGCUCUAAGUGGGUGGUAAAUUCCAUCUAAAGCUAAAUAUUGGCGAGAGACCGAUAGCGAACAAGUACAGUGAUGGAAAGAUGAAAAGAACUUUGAAAAGAGAGUGAAAAAGUACGUGAAAUUGUUGAAAGGGAAGGGUAUUAGAUCAGACUUGGUGUUUUGUGAUUAUCUUCCCUUCUUGGGUUGUGCACUCGCAUUUCACUGGGCCAGCAUCGGUUCGGGUGGUAAGAUAAUGACAUUGGAACGUGGCACUGCCUUCGGGUGGUGUGUUAUAGCCCUUGUUGAUGUUGCCUACCUGGACCGAGGACUGCGGCUUUUGCCUAGGAUGCUGGCGUAAUGAUCUAACACCGCCC